UCAAGAGCCCCUGGCCUCAAAGCAAAACUUGGAGAAAUGUCCUACAGCAAUGUACCCCAAGCUGAGAGAAAAGAACUGUGUGUGUAAUGAGCCACAUCGUCAGUCUGGUGCAUGGGAGAGGAUGCACCACUGCCCCCACGCAACACCAUCCGAGAAAUGGAUGAGAACUGUGCCGUGCCCGUUUCCCUGCAGGACAAAUGGAGGAACAUGGAUCAGAUUUACCAGACGCACAGGUGGCAAACCGAGAAGUCAUGGAAAGCAGCGAUGACUAACCCCGAUAACCGAUGGCUCCAAGAAUGAAGCCAAAUCACAACACUUGAAUAAACACAAGAAUCACAAGGAACCUGUAGAAAAGACACGCGAUGUUAAUUUGCACGAGUACACUUCAAAGUGAAAAACACUUUUAAAAAUGAUGCACACUUAAUUUAAAUUAUUUCCACCUAAAUUAUUUGUAUAAUA